UGCUGCUGCUGCUGGCCGACUCCCUCCUGCCGGGCCACCGCCACCGCUGCUGGCUGACACCAUCCUGCCGGGCCGCGGCUGCCUCUUCUGGUCCCUCUGACUGGGCCGUGGCCUCUGCUGGCUGACUCCCGCCAGCCGCACCAACGCCUCUGCUGACUCCCUCCGGCCGCGUGGUCACUCUUCCCAGAUCCUCACAGGAAGCGCAGUCUUGGCUUCCAUAGGGGCACGCACGCUGGCAGCGUCACUCGCCUCAAGCUGAAGCACCACCCCCUCCUAAAGGGGCCGCAGCUCGGCCUGGCCAGAAUAGCUUCCGGUUGGAUGAGAACAAGUCUACCUGCUCGGAGCUCGCUUAGAGGAGGAGGAGGAGGAGGAGGAGGAGCCGCCCAUUGCCCAUGCUGGAGGCUGGAGUCUGCAGUAUCAGCUCGCCUCCCUGUUGCGGGUAGUGGUGGUGACAGAGACUACAGUGCAGCUGGAAAGGCUUUUCUGGCUUUGCCUGCCCAGCUGCUCCAUGCCAGGAGAAGGAAGAGCCAUCUGCUGCAUGCUGGAGGCUGGAGCCUGUAACACCAUGGCUCGCCUCGCUGCGGUGGGUGGCAGUGAUGGAGACUGCAGAGUGCCGAGAGGACAACCAAGUCCCUAUAUGUCUCCUCUGGACAGCACGGGUGAAACCUUCUAAGAGGCAAUCAUCAAAACCUCCUCACCAUGACAGCAAGCAAGGAGGAAGGACCCUAAAGACCGUUGAUGCCCCUUUUCAGCAGGAAGUAGCUACAGAGAAUGAUAUCUGCCCCAUGUCCCAAAAGAUUUCUGGGUCUCAACCACUUGAGGGAGAAUGUAAGAGGAGUAGACAGUCAGACAUGAGCAGGCACAAGGAGGCGGUAUCCAUGUUGGAGAGAAACCCCCAGAACACCUCUUUGGAUGCUCAGUACUCCAGCUUCAAACUGUCAGAAUGUUGUUAACUAGAUCAUGAUAAGGAAAAAAGGCAAAGGGGAAUUCCUGAGAGCCGAGCAGGCACAAUGAGUACAAAAUUGACUGCUAUACCUUCCCAGGGUGGUGGUAAUAUGCAGUGCCACCAUUAGGUAGGAUUCGUGUUGAUUAAUGUUUCCCAUGCAUGUGUAUUAAGCACGGUAAGGGAGGAUCCCCCGAACUUUGGUGAGAACUGGGCAAAGAAAUAACUGAGGCAACAGAAGAUAACAAUGCAGAAUGUCGUAAGGAUGUUUCCAGCAGGGUC